rnacentral:rRNA from 1 species
UACGUAGGUGACAAGCGUUGUCCGGAUUUACUGGGCGUAAAGAGCGCGCAGGCGGUCGUUCAAGUCGAGUGUGAAAGCCCCCGGCUCAACUGGGGAGGGUCACUCGAUACUGAUCGACUCGAAGGCAGGAGAGGGAAGUGGAAUUCCCGGUGUAGUGGUGAAAUGCGUAGAUAUCGGGAGGAACACCAGUGGCGAAGGCGACUUCCUGGCCUGUUCUUGACGCUGAGGCGCGAAAGCUAGGGGAGCAAGCGGG